rnacentral:rRNA from 1 species
UACGUAGGGUGCAAGCGUUAAUCGGAAUUACUGGGCGUAAAGCGUGCGCAGGCGGUUUUGUAAGUCUGUCGUGAAAUCCCCGGGCUCAACCUGGGAAUUGCGAUGGAGACUGCAAGGCUAGAAUCUGGCAGAGGGGGGUAGAAUUCCACGUGUAGCAGUGAAAUGCGUAGAGAUGUGGAGGAACACCGAUGGCGAAGGCAGCCCCCUGGGGUCAAGAUUGACGCUCAUGCACGAAAGCGUGGGGAGCAAACAGG